GACGAACGCUGGCGGCGCGCUUAACACAUGCAAGUCGAGCGAAGCGGCGGACGGGUGAGUAACACGUGAGUAACCUGCCUUUUACACAGGGAUAGCCUCGGGAAACCGGGAUUAAAACCUGAUGGUAAAAGCUGGACUCGGGUCCCAUUAGCUAGUUGGUGAGGUAACGGCCCACCAAGGAGACGAUGGGUAGCCGGCCGGAGAGGGUGAACGGCCACAUUGGAACUGAGAAACGGUCCAAACUCUACGGGAGGCAGCAGUGGGGAAUAUUGCACAAUGGAGGGAACUCUGAUGCACCGACGCCGCGUGAACGAAUAAGGCUUUCUAGUCGUAAAGUUCUUUUAUAUGGGAAGCGGUACCAUAAGAAAAAGCCCCGGCUAACUACGUGCCAGCAGCCGCGGUAAUUC
rnacentral:rRNA from 1 species